AACGCAAGUUGCGGUUUUCUUUCGAAAACCAUGUUUGCCUGAGGGUUGUUUCACACAAAUUGAGGCGUGUCAUUUCCCAUAAAAAAGAGAUGACUCCCUUUAAAUGAUUUUGAAUUUCCCCUCCCGAUCUUUUAUGACUUGAAGAAAAGUUAAUUUUUUUUCAAGAAACGAAAUCUUUCCAUUUUUCUCUUUUAUUAAAGCAAAAAAAAAAAAAGAAAGUUAGGUUUUUUUUCUUCUUGGCAUUCUUUUCUCUCGAAAGAGGGAUUUGCGAGUCAGGGAAAAGAGAAAUCUUGCUUGCUUAAAAACUUUUUUUUUUCUUUUUCCUUGGAAACAAAGAGAAGGAGCUCAUUGAGUACCUUCCAAAAAGAAAAAAAACUAAUUAAUAACGCAACCUCAGAUCAAGCAAGACUACCCGCUGAACCUAA
rnacentral:misc_RNA from 1 species